UCCCAUUGCGCCGCCGCCACUCCUCCUCUCCCACAUCUGCCUUGGGAUCCCUCCCGAUCCAUUCCACCCAACCAGAUCGCACCGACCGCCUCCCUCAUUUUCAGCAAUCGAACCAACCUGCAGCACUCGAUCUCCUUCAUCCCCGAGCCCUUCCUCGCUCGAUCUGGACCAGGAGGGUCCCGAGCAUCUCCUCCACCGCCCCGCCAUCUUCCUGGAAGCCGCAGCGCCCGAGCGCUCCUCCUCCUCGAGAACCGCAGCUCCGGCGAACCUCGCCGCCGGUGACCACCUCCCGCAGGCCCGUGCCGCCUCCUUCCUCCCUGCGCCCCUUCUAUUCCUUCCCUUUUCUCUAAGCGCCAUUGCUUCCUCGUGUUUCCUUCGCACAGGAGCUCCAACCCCGGUCAUGGACACUCGUGCUUCCCCAGUCGACCCUGCCGGCUUGAACCCCGCCGAAUCAGAUGCCUGCUCGUCCCGCGCCCAACGCCCGCGCUCCAGCCUCGACCUCCUCCUCGCCGGAGUCCCGCACAAGCCACCGCUGCGGUCGUCCUCAACACCUUCCCCGCCUCCGGUCGCUCAGUGUCGGCGAGCCCAGUCGCCGGUGAAGCCCCACAGGAGCGCGUCGUACAGCCACCGCAGGAGCUCCCUUACAGCCGCCUGGAUCUGGUGUAUCGCCGGAGAACAUCGUCCUCGCCCGGAUCCCGUCGUCCUUGGCGCCCCUGCUCUUCCGCGCCAAGCUAAGCCGCCGCCGCCGGCGAUGCCUCUGCUUCCCGCCUCUGCAUCGAGCAGUGCUCGAUCCGGUUGCGCCUGUUGACCACGCGCGUGUGCCCGUCCGCGUCAAAACCAGCAGCAGCCAGCCCAGCAGCGCCCUUCGUCCGCUCCAAGGCCCAGCCCCAAGCCCAGCUGGCUUCUUCUGCUUCCAAGCGGGCAGAAGCCCAUGGUUCCGGUAAUGUUGCGAUUGUGAGGAUUCGUUCAACUACUCCCGUUCGUCUUCUUUAUGG